rnacentral:rRNA from 1 species
AUACGGAGGGGGUUAGCGUUGUUCGGAAUUACUGGGCGUAAAGCGCACGUAGGCGGAUUAAAAAGUUAGAGGUGAAAUCCCAGGGCUUAACCCUGGAACUGCCUUUAAAACUAGUAGUCUAGAGUUCGAGAGAGGUGAGUGGAAUUCCAAGUGUAGAGGUGAAAUUCGUAGAUAUUUGGAGGAACACCAGUGGCGAAGGCGGCUCACUGACUCGAUACUGACGCUGAGGUGCGAAAGCGUGGGGAGCAAACAGGAUUAGAAACCCCGGUAGUCC